rnacentral:rRNA from 1 species
GACGAACGCUGGCGGCGUGCUUAACACAUGCAAGUCGAACGGAAAGGCCCUUCGGGGUACUCGAGUGGAGAAAGGGGGGGUAACACGUGGGUGAUCUGCCCUGCACUUUGGGAUAAGCCUGGGAAACUGGGUCUAAUACCGAAUAUGAUCAUCGGCUUCAUGGUCGGUGGUGGAAAGCUUUUGCGGUGUGGGAUGGGCCCGCGGCCUAUCAGCUUGUUGGUGGGGUAAUGGCCUACCAAGGCGACGACGGGUAGCCGGCCUGAGAGGGUGACCGGCCACACUGGGACUGAGAUACGGCCCAGACUCCUACGGGAGGCAGCAGUGGGGAAUAUUGCACAAUGGGCGCAAGCCUGAUGCAGCGACGCCGCGUGAGGGAUGACGGCCUUCGGGUUGUAAACCUCUUUCAGCUCAGACGAAGCGCUAGUGACGGUAUGUGCAGAAGAAGCACCGGCCAACUACGUG